UUUUUACGGAGAGUUUGAUCCUGGCUCAGGAUGAACGCUGGCGGCGUGCUUAACACAUGCAAGUCGAACGAUGAACCGGGUGCUUGC
rnacentral:rRNA from 1 species